ensembl:lncRNA
GUUGUGAUGAAUGGUGUUCGAUAGGCACAGAGAGUCAGGCAGAGGGAGUCAGGCACAGGGAGUCAGGCAGAGGGAGUCAGGCACAGGGAGUCAGGCAGAGGGAGUCAGGCACAGGGAGUCAGGCAGAGGGAGUCAGGCACAGGGAGUCAGGCACAGGGAGUCAGGCACAGGGAGUCAGGCAGAGGGAGUCAGGCACAGGGAGUCAGGCAGAGGGAGUCAGGCAGAGGGAGUCAGGCACAGGGAGUCAGGCACAGGGAGUCAGGCACAGGGAGUCAGGCACAGGGAGUCAGGCAGAGGGAGUCAGGCACAGGGAGUCAGGCACAGGGAGUCAGGCACAGGGAGUCAGGCAGAGGGAGUCAGGCACAG